UAGGGAAUCUUCCGCAAUGGACGAAAGUCUGACGGAGCAACGCCGCGUGAGCGAUGAAGGCCUUCGGGUCGUAAAGCUCUGUUGUUAGGGAAGAACAAGUAUCGGAGUAACUGCCGGUACCUUGACGGUACCUAACCAGAAAGCCACGGCUAACUACGUGCCAGCAGCCGCGGUAAUACGUAGGUGGCAAGCGUUGUCCGGAAUUAUUGGGCGUAAAGCGCGCGCAGGCGGUCCUUUAAGUCUGAUGUGAAAGCCCACGGCUCAACCGUGGAGGGUCAUUGGAAACUGGGGGACUUGAGUGCAGAAGAGGAAAGCGGAAUUCCACGUGUAGCGGUGAAAUGCGUAGAGAUGUGGAGGAACACCAGUGGCGAAGGCGGCUUUCUGGUCUGUAACUGACGCUGAGGCGCGAAAGCGUGGGGAGCAAACAGGAUUAGAUACCCUGGUAGUCCACGCCGUAAACGAUGAGUGCUAAGUGUUAGAGGGUUUCCGCCCUUUAGUGCUGCAGCUAACGCAUUAAGCACUCCGCCUGGGGAGUACGGCCGCAAGGCUGA
rnacentral:rRNA from 1 species